UACGAGUGCCCCAAGCGUUAUCCGGAAUUAUUGGGCGUAAAGGGUGUGUAGGUGGUUGUUGUUAGUCUUCUGUUAAAUUCUUCGGCUUAACCGGGGUCCUGCAGAGGAAACGGCACGACUAGAGUAUGCGAGGGGUGAAGUGGAACUCAUGGAGUAGGGGUGAAAUCCGAUUGAUAUCAUGGGGAACACCAAAAGGCGAAGGCAAUUCACUGGUGCAUUACUGACACUGAAACAC
rnacentral:rRNA from 1 species